rnacentral:rRNA from 1 species
GAUGAACGCUGGCGGCGUGCCUAAUACAUGCAAGUCGAGCGGACGGACGAGGCUUUUUCUUCUCUGAAGUGAGCGGCGGACGGGUGAUUCCCACGAGUCUACCCGGCCUUGGAGGAUGACGUCAGGACAGGAACGCGGAUCUAGUAUCCGAUCAUAUUGUGAACCUGAUGGUUCAUCGGACAACACCCUACUUGAUGUGCCUAGGUGGCAUUAGCUAGUUGGUUUGGUAAAGGGGUACCAAGGCGACGAUCCGUAGCUGACCUGAGAGGAUGAUCGGCCACACUGGAACUGAGACACGGUCCAGACUCCUACGGGAGGCAGCAGUAGGGAAUCUUCGGCAAUGGGCGAAAGCCUGACGCAGCCACGCCGCGUGAGUGAUGAAGGUCUUCGGAUCGUAAAACUCUGUUAGUAGGGAGGAACAGAUGUGUAAGUAACUGUGCCCAUCUUGACGGUACCUAAUCAGAAAGCAACGGCUAACUACGUG